rnacentral:rRNA from 1 species
UACGAAGGGGGCUAGCGUUGCUCGGAAUCACUGGGCGUAAAGCGCACGUAGGCGGCUUUCUAAGUCAGGGGUGAAAUCCUGGAGCUCAACUCCAGAACUGCCUUUGAUACUGGAGUGCUUGAGUCCGGGAGAGGUGAGUGGAAUCCGAGUGUAGAGGUGAAAUUCGUAGAUAUUCGCAAGAACACCAGUGGCGAAGGCGGCUCACUGGCCCGAUACUGACGCUGAGGCACGAAAGCGUGGGGAGCAAACAG